GACGAACGCUGGCGGCGUGCUUAACACAUGCAAGUCGAACGGAAAGGCCCUGCUUGCAGGGUACUCGAGUGGCGAACGGGUGAGUAACACGUGGGUGAUCUGCCCUGCACUUCGGGAUAAGCUUGGGAAACUGGGUCUAAUACCGGAUAGGAGCCAUCUUUAGUGUGGUGGUUGGAACGUUUUUUCGGUGUAGGAUGAGCUCGCGGCCUAUCAGCUUGUUGGUGGGGUAAUGGCCUACCAAGGCGGCGACGGGUAGCCGGCCUGAGAGGGUGUACGGCCACAUUGGGACUGAGAUACGGCCCAGACUCCUACGGGAGGCAGCAGUGGGGAAUAUUGCACAAUGGGCGCAAGCCUGAUGCAGCGACGCCGCGUGGGGGAUGAAGGCCUUCGGGUUGUAAACUCCUUUCGCUAGGGACGAAGCUUUUUGUGACGGUACCUAGAUAAGAAGCACCGGCUAACUACGUG
rnacentral:rRNA from 1 species